rnacentral:rRNA from 1 species
AGUCACUGACAUUAGAUACCCGGGUAGUCCAGGGUGUAAACGCUGCAGACUUGGUGUUGGAAGCCCUUUGGGGGCAUUCAGUGCCGGAGAGGAGUUGUUAAGUCUGCUACUUGGGGAGUACGUCCGCAAGGAUGAAACUUAAAGGAAUUGGCGGGGGAGCACCGCAACGGGAGGAGCGUGCGGUUUAAUUGGAUUCAACACCGUAAAACUCACCAGGGAAGACUGUUACAUGAAGGCCGAGAUGAAGACUCUGCUAGAUUUUCAG